CGUGAAUUCGCGAGAUUCACUGAUACACUGCACUCUGUUGGUAGAGCAUUUAAUUGUUCUGCCUCUCACUUCACUUAGAGAUUGGAUAAUCUUCCACGGCACACCUGUUGAUUUCUUACGGCACACUUGUGUGCCGCGGAACAGCUGUUGGGAAUCACUGGAUUGGAGCACAGUUAUGGGGCGAAUCUGAUUGGCUCCUUGCGUUUUGGCUUUGAUGCUUUGAUGUAAAUCCUGUCCGCUGGCGGGACUCGGCAUCUCUGGCUUUUCGUCUGAGAUAAACACUACUUCACCUAAGAGACUUGAGUAUCCAGUUCUUCGUUGACCUUCAGCAUUCAGUGGUUUGUCUUCACCUUUUCAGGUUUCCUGUGUCCAGCAUCUUCAAGACAUACUAAGC